GACGAACGCUGGCGGCGUGCUUAACACAUGCAAGUCGAACGGUGAACCAGGGCUUGCCCUGGGGAUCAGUGGCGAACGGGUGAGUAACACGUGGGCAACCUGCCCCUGACUCUGGGAUAACUCCUCGAAAGAGGUGCUAAUACCGGAUACGACCACUUCGGGCAUCCGAUGGUGGUGGAAAGAAUUUUGGUCAGGGAUGGGCCCGCGGCCUAUCAGCUUGUUGGUGGGGUAACGGCCCACCAAGGCGACGACGGGUAGCCGGCCUGAGAGGGCGACCGGCCACACUGGGACUGAGACACGGCCCAGACUCCUACGGGAGGCAGCAGUGGGGAAUAUUGCGCAAUGGGCGAAAGCCUGACGCAGCGACGCCGCGUGAGGGACGACGGCCUCGGUGUAACGUACUUCUAGCAGGACGAAGACG
rnacentral:rRNA from 1 species